rnacentral:lncRNA from 1 species
AGAACAGGGUGAGCCUAGCAGUGAUGACUAAUAUCUUUCUACUAACCAGGAAAAUGUGAAAGUGGGUCUUACCAAGGUGCCACAAUGCAGACCAUCGAACUUCACUGUCUAGGUUCCUGUCCAGAUAUCACUCUGAAACAAGGAUUGAUGUUAAUGGUGGCCACUGUUGGGGUCCAGGUUCCUGUCAAGAGAGAGACAUUCUGGUGGUUGUUCUCUGGGGACAUUUCUGUGCCCAGGUAUGUAAUGAUGUGCACCUUCCCCUAACAGACAUCUCAUCUUCUCAUAUCUAGGUCAGUGUUAGGAUUGAAUAAACUUAUUUACCAUGUGUUUUAUUUUCAAGAAGUCAGGUAAGAAAUCAUAGUAUGUUUACCAGUUGUAGCAAUCCUGAUAUGCUACUGUCUGUGAUCUUAGAGAAAAUGUAUGCUUAGUCAUGGGAGUGUUGAGUGGCUGGUGGGUAUCCACACCAUGACAAUGGAAUUGUGUGGUACACUAGUAACCAUGGUGCUUUGGCAAGUAAGCUGGGAAGAGAUGAUGCUAUGUCGAAAUUUGGCAUAGAUCUUGGAGUCCUACAUGAAUCCAGGGAGAACCGAUGGGUCCUGCAGUGAUGGCCACCCAUAAGGCUGUUUGAAAUUUCCUGGUAGAAAAGGUACGUCCAUAGACAUAUCUGUCACAAAGGGCUUUUUACAGUCUGGUCAAGAAGUCAUGGUGAAUCUCAAAAUGAUCUUGAAUGGAACUUUGCUUCUCUCCAGAUAAGUGUUGCUAUGGCAUUUAGCACCUAUAAUAUGAUCUUCAGAUAUGUAGGUCUGAGGGAGGGUGUUCCUAAUUAUUCUGUUACCAUCUUGUUUUAUUUAAGCAGCUAUUCAUUUAAGAAGUGGCAUUUUCCAUCACAACCUUGUAGAUCAACUAUAGUUCAGUAAAACUUUAAAAAAUGGGGAAAAAAAAGAAAUUGACGUAGUCACAACUAGUGCUUGUAAGUAUUUGCCUUUUUUUUUUUUUUUUAAAGAUUUUUGAUAUAGUGUGUAUUUAAACUUAGUAGUAACAGAGGGUUAUUCAGGUCCAGGUAAUUUAUUCUACUUUUGCAGUGUUAACCAUGACAUUUCUACAGAUUCUCCUAGAAGAGAUGAUACUGUGCCUCACAAUGGUGUUGACCUUAAAGUUCUUCCAAGGUUCAUAUAGUGCAUACGCUCCUCUAAUGAUGGAAGCAAGCAAGAUUAUCUUCAAAGGUACUUAUUUGGCAGAUAAAUAAGAAUGUCCUUUAACACAGUUGUCUAAUGCAUUUCUCAAGGUUCUAGUCAGCAUCGUGAAUAUAAUUAACCAAAUAAUAGUUGUCAGUGGGACCUUGUUAGAAACCAGGUUGGUGAAAAGGUGGCUUCCAGCCCAGUACAGAUCAUUAGAUGUUCAGUUAUCGAGCACGUAAGAAUGGUGUCUAACACAGUGCACCACACUUUUUUGUAGGUUUCCCAUUACUUUCUUUGUCUAGUGUACAGGUAUGAGAUGAUGUGACAUUAAUUCAUUAGAUACCAUCUUUUCUUCAGAUACGUAGGUAGUGAUGUUGACCUUGAAGAUCUUUCAAGAUCCACAGAGUAUCAAGGAUUCCCCUGAUGAUAGAAAAAUAACCAGAAGUAAUUACGUGUAUUCUUCAGGUAAAACAUUUUUUUCCUUAAAACCCUUGUCAGUUGUGUUCUUACAUGUUAUAGUAGUGAUGACCCUAUAGCAGACCUAGGAAUGGUCAUCAAUGGGACCCUGCUAGUAACCAGGUAAGUGAUAUUGAGGGUCUUGCAGCCCAGUAUAGACCAUCUGGUCUUCAGAGAUGUCUGUGUAAGUGAGGAUGAUGUCCCCAACACCAGACACAGUGAUACUGUGUUUUUUCCUGCAGGUACCCUGUUAAAGUGUUUGCUAGUAUGAAGGUAUUUUCAGAUAAAUAAGGAAUAAAUGAUAUUUUGCAGACACUUUAUAGUUUAUCUUACACUUAACUAUAUUAACUAUAUUUUUGGCUUGUAUGCAGUAAAGCUAUUAAUCUGUCAUUAACAUACUCGUAAGCAUGAUAUUUUCCUACAUUCGAGUUCCAAAAUACCAUUUUACCCACCUCUACUGACAAAAGGAUAUGCAGAUAUCCAGGAAAUUUAUCAUACUGUUCAUCACCGCAAUAUAGACCGUAGAAUUUCGAGGUAGCCUUUCAAGAGAAGAAGGCAUCUCUUACUAAGAUUUAGUCCAGGUAAUGGCGAUGAGUCUCACAGUUAUGCAGUGGAACAAAGGGAUCUGAAGGUGGACACUAGAAUGAUAUGUACUUCAAGCACAUCCUCUAAAUGCGUCUUCGGGUUCGUGAUGGUAAGCAUCUCAAUGUAGUUAAAGUUGCUGGUAUCUAGGUGAGUGAUGGUGUGGGCCUAACCCACAUCAUAGACCAUCUCUGCCUCAUGUAUGUGGGUAAGUGAAUAUGCUUGCCUUCCUAACACUUCUUCUUAAAAAGAUUUUUUUGCAGGUAUUCAGCUGAGAAAUACUAAGAGUUCAUACUAAUUCCAAUAACCAUGAGUUUACGCUUUGUGUAUUUUAGUGAAAAUAUGUUUUAUCUUGUAAGUAUUGAGGAGUCAGUUAUGUUCCCAGUAGUUGUUGUGAAGUCUCCUCACUGUUGUAACCAUUGGAUUUUUACAGGAAUCCAGGAAAGUGAUACUGAUCUCUUCUGACAGCAGUGUUGACCUCGAAUGAAUGCAGAGAUCCAGGUAGCAAUGAUGUGUUCCAUGAUAACGGAGGUGCACACGGUUAGAUGCAGGUGUCCUGGUAGAACAGUGUUUGUCUUACACAGAUUUGUUGCAUGUAUUUCUUCAGGAUCCUGUUAAGACAACAGGGUAAACCUAGCAGUGUGAUGACUAACAAAAGCUUUCUAGUAACCAGGUAAGUGUGAAAGUGGGUCUCACCACAGUGCACACCAUCUGAACUUCAGGGUCUAGGUGAAUGAGGAUGGUGUCCCUAAUAUUUGUGUUCAUGUCUUCUUUUUGCAGGUGUCAGGUUCAGAUCUUUCCUUGUCACACAAGGAUGAGAUGAGGGGAUAUUCACUAAUUAAAGACAUUGUUAUAUUCCGAUGGCUACGUGAUUCAUGAUCAGUCUUUUAUAUUUACUUUGUUUUUGGCAUGUUAUCAGAUUUGGCUUUCCAACAUUGGUAUUGACCUUGAAUUACUGCAAGUAACCAGGUAGAGUUGAUGUGUCUCAUAAUGGUGACGUGACCAAGAUGUGUAGGUAGAAAGGACACAUUUCCUAUCUUUUACAGGUUUGUGUCCACACAUCACUCUGAACUGAGCAUUAAUGUUAACAGGGGACACGGUCGGGGUCCAGGUUUGUGAUGAUUGUGACCCUGUCACUUGUUACCAUGGCUUCUCUGCAGGUAUUCAGGUAAUGGUUGAUUCCUUACCAAUUCUUAAUACCAUGAACUUUCAGUUUUCAUGCUUUAGAGAAUAUCUUUAACUCUGUGACUCAUGAGCAAUUACACAUAGCAGGUAUUGAUUAUGAUUGCUCAAGCACAGUAGUGAUCAUGGAAUUUCUGCAGGUAUCUUGUAAAGAAGUGUUAUUUCCUGACAAGGGUCAUGCCCUAGGAGAACUGCAAAUAUUCAAGUAGAGUUGAUCAUAAUGCUGUCAAUGACGGAGCUUGUUUGCAAGUGUCCUAGUAGAGUAAGCUAUGUCCUUUUAUACGUGUAUCAUAAUGUGCUUUUCAGGUUCUGCCAAGAGAUGAAUAUUCAUUCUGAUGGUCAUUCUCUGGGGACAUUUCUUUGUCUGGGUAGGUAAUGAUGUGCACCUUUCCCAGCAGACAUUGCAUCUUCUCAUAUCUAGGUCUCUGUUCGGAUUGACUAAAUUUACUUAUCAUGUGGAUUUUUUCAGGUAAUCAGAUAAGAAAUGAUAGUAUUUUUACCAAUGGUAGCAAUCCUGAUAUGCUGCUGUUUGCAAUUUUAGAAAAAAAAAUGUAUGCUUACUCAUGGGAGUGUUCAUUGGCUCUUGAAUAUCCACAUCAUGAUGGUGGAAUUGUGUGGCACAGCAGUAACCAUGGUGCUUUUGCCAGGGGGCUGGGAGGAGAUGCUGGCGUGUCGAACUUUGGCAUAAAGCUUGGAGUCCUGCAUGAAGCCAGAGAGAACCGAUGGGUCCUGCAGUGAUGGCUACACACAGGGUUAUUUGAAGAGUCCUAGUAGAAAUUGUGCCUCCAUACACAUAACUGUCACAAGGGGCUCUUUGCAUUCUAGUCAAGAAAUCACAGUGAAUCUGAAAAUGAUCCUGAAUAGGCCUUUGAUGUCUCCAGGUAAGAGAUGCUGUGGGGCCUUAGCACCUACAAUCCGUUAUUCAGAUAUGUAGGUAUGUGUGGAGGCUGUUCCUAACUAUGCUGUUACCAUGUUGUUUUUUUCAAACAGAUAUUCAUUUCAGAAAUUAAUCACAAACUUGUCAGAUUCCCUGUUGUGGCUCAGUGGUAAUGAACCUGACUAGUAUACAUGAGGACUCAUGUUCGGUCCCUGGCCUCGCUCAGUGGGUUAAGGAUCCGGCGUUGCUAUGGUGAGCUACAGUGUAGGUCGCAGACAUGGCUCGGAUCUGUCAUUGCUGUGGCUGUGGCUUAGGCUGGUGGCUGUAGCUCCAGUUUGAGCCCUAGCCUGAGAACUAUGCUG